rnacentral:misc_RNA from 1 species
UUUUUUUUUUUUUUUUUUUGUGCAAUAACUGCUAAUCUGGUAAGCUUACCAACAGGUUUGACAAAUUCCUAGUAAGAAAGUUCUUAAUUUUAAUAAUGGUAGUCUUCUUUUGAUUCAUGGUGUAUAUCUGGCUAAGUUGGCACAGUCCUAUGUUCUAGAGCUAUCUUCCACAGAGGCCAAACAAAGGAAAAACAAGAGGAGAGAGAGUUGGAAGGUGGGGGGGGGGGUGGCGGAGAUAUCCUCUGGUACAAAUAUAGUACAAUUAAAUGGUAAAGAAGAGAAAAAAGUUGGCAUUUGGAGAAGUGAUCUGAUUAAAAAAGGUCCCAAAAGCAGAGUCUGAACGGAUGUCAGAAAAAUACUCAACAUGUAAGAAACAAGUUCACUUAUACAUACAGGCUGUGAAAAUUGAUGACCACU